UACGUAGGGUCCGAGCGUUGUCCGGAAUUAUUGGGCGUAAAGGGCUCGUAGGCGGUUCGUCACGUCGGGAGUGAAAACUCGGAGCUUAACUCCGAGCCUGCUUCCGAUACGGGCAGACUAGAGGUAGGCAGGGGAGAGCGGAACUCCUGGUGUAGCGGUGGAAUGCGCAGAUAUCAGGAAGAACACCCGUGGCGAAGGCGGCUCUCUGGGACGGUACUGACGCUGAGACGCGAAAGCUAGGGAGCGAACAGGAUAGAAACCCGUGUA
rnacentral:rRNA from 1 species